UCACUGUGUAUGUGUGUGUGUUGGGGAUUAUCACACUGUGUGUGUGUGUGUGUGUGUGUGUGUGUGUGUUGGGGGUUAUCACACCGUGUGUGUGUGUGCGUGUGCGUGUGCGAGCACGCGCUGGGGAUAUCACCAGCACAUGGGUGCAUAUACAUAUGAUGUGCUAUACCUAAUAGACAUACACACAGUGAAAUAUCCCCAGCCAGUGCACACAUGGGGUGUGGUAUCCCUAGUGUAUGCACACACACAGAAUUUUAUAUCCCCAGCUCACACGCACACACACACAUAAAAUGUGAUAUCUUCAGCACACACUUAUGUGCAUGCAGAGUAUGAUGUCCCCUGCACAUACAUGCACACAAACACACAGUGUGAUAUCCCCAGCACACGGGCACACACACACUGAGUGAUAUCCCCAGCAUGCACACACACGCGUGCAUGUGUGCACACAGUGUGUUAUACACAGCACACACACAUGCAUUGUGUGAUAUCCACAGCACACCCAUAUGUGCACGUAGGCUGUGAUAUGCCCAUCACACAUACAGGAUGUGAUAUGACACCCUGCAUGCAUGUACGUGUGUGUGUAUAUGUGUGUUGGGGAUAUCACACAAUGUGUGUGUGCUGGGUAUAACACAUUGUGUGCACAUAUGUGUGCGUAUAUGUAUGUGCUGGUGAUAUCACAAUGUGUGUGUGUGUGCUGGGUAUAACACACUGUGCAAAUAUAUUGCAUUGUGUGUGUGUGCGCGCGUGCACCUGGGGGGUGUAGGGAUAUAACACCCUCUGUGGGUGUGCACAUGCACACACAGUGGGGAGGUGUGGAGAAUGUCAGCCCAUGUAUGUGAGCAUGGGUGGUGGGAGUAUCACUACUUGUGUGUGUUUGCAUUGACAUCACACCCUGUCUGUGUGUGUGCGUGCAUUGACGGGCAGAGAUAUUACACCCUGUGUGUGUGUGUGUGUGUGUGUGCACGUGCAUUGGAGGGAAGAGUGUUGCAUCUUUUGUGUGUGUGCUGGGGGAGAAGAACCACACUGUAUCCUGCUGUGAGUGUGCAUACAUGCAUGUAUUGGGGGAAGGUAUCCCACUGUGUGUGUGUGAAUGUGCAUUCACUGUUGGGGGAGAGAGAGCCAGGAUUCCUGUUCCUCCUACAGACUCACUGGGAGCAUUGCAGUCUUGCUCUUGCAGCUUGUGUCACCAGUUACCUCUGUGCAAAGCCGUCACGGAAAAACAAAACACACUGCAAGUCAGACUGGUAGUAGUUUUGCACUCAGUUUACGCCACUGACAAUGGCAACACAUAGCUCAUAGCAGUGGCAAAUCAGGCCCUGUGUGACAAUAACCAUAAGCAAGUCAUUUAUUGCUCUGGGUCUCCAUUUUUCCAUUUGUAAAAUGGGGAUAACGAGAGACAACAGGGACUUAAUAUUUAAUCAAUUACAUACAUAUAUUAUAAAAUAAUGUCAGAAUCUGCACCUGUCCUGGAGUUGCAGAGUUGAUUGUAGAUUUGCUUAGUGCAAAUCUACAUUUUCUGGAGUGCUAUUUUUCUCCCCUGGUGUUCUCUGAAAGGCCUGCACAAACAACUGUGAUAGUACAGGCCAAGAAACAGAAGGAAGUAUUAUCCAAAUGUCCAAACUCGGCAGAAAUAGAGGGGAAAUCUCAAUCCUCUAUAAUCAUCUUAAAUGUUUUUUGUAACUACAGCAGGUCAGAAUUUUCAAAUAGAAGUGUAGUAUUUAAAUUGUGCCCUCUUACUACAGGAAAUCACUUUGAAGAAUGACAGCCUUUAAAAGCAUAAGAGCUAUUGCUGAGACGAUUUAAGAUCAGAGAGACCACAAGUCAGUUGAUCUUCAGAGCACAUGUUUUUCCAAGUAUUUGUGUGCUAAUGUGGGGAUUUAAAGUGUAGAGAAGGAACAGCCAGCUAGGGGUCCGAUGGCAGGCACGAAGCAGAUUUGAGAGCACUGCUGGCUGGGAACUACUUAGAAGUGAAAGUAAGGUGGUGGGCCCUGGUAAGGACCGGCUGCACUCUGACAGGAGCCGGCUGGGCCACUCUGUUCAUUUAAAGAGCCGGCUAAGGGUGCGCUGUAGGAGAAAACUUUUGAUGAAGAAAGUACUUAGGAACAUUGAUAACCACAGUGUGAAUGUAAGAACUGUCAUGGAGUAAGCACUAGAGUGGAUCAAAGAAUUUGAAGAACUAUUAUAAAAAUAGUAUCUUGCUCUUUUUUUGUCAAAAUGUUGGAAAAUUUCAACCAGCUCUAGUAUCUGCUGACUUGAAAAUCAGCCAUGUAUAUAUGUGCUGCAACUUCUCCUCCCCCAUUCUUCUCAGUAUUGACAGAAUAAAGGGGCAUCUGAGCUCUGAUGUUGUGAAAUACAUUUAUGCUGCCCAGGUCCAUCUAACAUGUGGUUUCUAAAAUUAUCUUCCUUAUCUGUUGCUCUAAUUGUAUCACUCUCAUCUGAUUAUUUAAAUCUCAGGGUCUUGAUAGUAAAUUCCUUAUGGUGUUUAAAUAAGGAACACUUAUGUACAUGAGGACUACAGUAUUACUCAUCAAUCACAUCUUAUUUUUAUGGACAACUUGGGAAGGACCAUCUGCAAAACAGUGGGAAGUUAGCAAGUUAUGGCUUGAAGACUUCUAUUAGAUAGCCUGUCACACAACAUGAAACUUUAGUUACAAAAACAAAUUGGGGCUAAAGACUUUAUCUAAAAAACCCUUUUAAGGGAUGAAAAAAUCCUAAAUCAUAAUCAGUGGGGUUCUUUCAAUGUGACAGCUAUGUUAAUGUUGUCUUUGCCUCAUGUCUUUCUAUUGGUUAUAAGUUUUGUGUGGUUAUAAGCACUUGUGGUGGUGGGGUUUUUUGGGUUUUCUUUGCUGUGCAUGUGUGUGGAGUUGUUUAUUUUUAAUAAAAAAUCUCCAGAAGUUUAAAG